UACGGAGGGGGCUAGCGUUGUUCGGAAUUACUGGGCGUAAAGCGCGCGCAGGCGGCUUUUUAAGUCCGUUGGUGAAAUGCCGGGGCUCAACCCCGUGCCCGCCAGGGAUACUGGAGAGCUGGAGACGGAGUAGAGGCAAGCGGAAUUCCGGGUGUAGCGGUGGAAUGCGUAGAGAUCCGGAAGAACACCGGAGGCGAAGGCGGCUUGCUGGGCUCGGUCUGACGCUGAGGCGCGAAAGCGUGGGGAGCGAACAGG
rnacentral:rRNA from 1 species